rnacentral:rRNA from 1 species
AACUUGGAGUCCGAACUCUCACUUUCUAACCCUGUGCACUUGUUUGGGAUAGUAACUCUCGCAAGAGAGCGAACUCCUAUUCACUUAUAAACACAAAGUCUAUGAAUGUAUUAAAUUUUAUAACAAAAUAAAACUUUCAACAACGGAUCUCUUGGCUCUCGCAUCGAUGAAGAACGCAGCGAAAUGCGAUAAGUAAUGUGAAUUGCAGAAUUCAGUGAAUCAUCGAAUCUUUGAACGCACCUUGCGCUCCAUGGUAUUCCGUGGAGCAUGCCUGUUUGAGUGUCAUGAAUACUUCAACCCUCCUCUUUCUUAAUGAUUGAAGAGGUGUUUGGUUUCUGAGCGCUGCUGGCCUUUACGGUCUAGCUCGUUCGUAAUGCAUUAGCAUCCGCAAUCGAACUUCGGAUUGACUUGGCGUAAUAGACUAUUCGCUGAGGAAUUCUAGUCUUCGGAUUAGAGCCGGGUUGGGUUAAAGGAAGCUUCUAAUCAGAAUGUCUACAUUUUAAGAUUAGAUCUCAAAUCAGGUAGGACUACCCGCUGAACUUAAGCAUAUCAAUAAGCGGAGGAAAAGAAACUAACAAGGAUUCCCCUAGUAGCGGCGAGCGAAGCGGGAAGAGCUCAAAUUUAUAAUCUGGCACCUUCGGUGUCCGAGUUGUAAUCUCUAGAAAUGUUUUCCGCGUUGGACCGCACACAAGUCUGUUGGAAUACAGCGGCAUAGUGGUGAGACCCCCGUAUAUGGUGCGGACGCCCAGCGCUUUGUGAUACAUUUUCGA